rnacentral:rRNA from 1 species
GACGAACGCUGGCGGCGUGCCUAAUACAUGCAAGUAGAACGCUGAAACUUGGUGCUUGCACCGAGCGGAUGAGUUGCGAACGGGUGAGUAACGCGUAGGUAACCUGCCUGGUAGCGGGGGAUAACUAUUGGAAACGAUAGCUAAUACCGCAUAAGAGUAGAUGUUGCAUGACAUUUGCUUAAAAGGUGCAAUUGCACCACUACCAGAUGGACCUGCGUUGUAUUAGCUAGUUGGUGGGGUAACGGCUCACCAAGGCGACGAUACAUAGCCGACCUGAGAGGGUGAUCGGCCACACUGGGACUGAGACACGGCCCAGACUCCUACGGGAGGCAGCAGUAGGGAAUCUUCGGCAAUGGACGGAAGUCUGACCGAGCAACGCCGCGUGAGUGAAGAAGGUUUUCGGAUCGUAAAGCUCUGUUGUAAGAGAAGAACGAGUGUGAGAGUGGAAAGUUCACACUAUGACGGUAUCUUACCAGAAAGGGACGGCUAACUACGUG